ensembl:lncRNA
AUGGGGAUGCGUGGGGGCAGAGGGAUGGACCGUGGCGGGCCAGGAGGGCCUGGAGGCUUCCGUGGAGGAUGGGGAGGUGACCGUGGCGGUGGAUUCAGGGGACGUGGUGGAAUGGACCGAGGGGGAUUCCGAGGGUCUAGCAGGGGAGGACCGCCUAUGGACAGAGGAAGAGGAAUGGGGAGAGGAGGAAUGGGGGGGCCCCCAGGCAAGAUGGAUAUGAGGGACCAUCGCCAGGAACGCAGAGACCGACCCUACUGAAAGACAGCAAUUUGAAUUUUCCAUUUAGUGCAGGAUUUGAUUUUUAAAAUGAAAUUAAUUUAUGAUUCCGUUUUUAUUAAUGGUUAUAGAACUGCUUUUGAAAUACUCUGGUGCAGUUUCAUUCAACUCGUAGUUAAACGUUUAGUUUUUUUAUAGUUUUAUUUACCCUUGGUUCAGUUAUUUUGACUUGUGCAAGUUUAUUUUUUGCAUUUCUUAGAUGUACAGACUGAUUUUGACAGUUUAUUGUAAAACAUGACACUUCUUUUUUAAUUGUAAUUGCGUCUCCUUCCCAUAGCUGUGUAAUGAUAAACAAUUUUGAAAAUAAAAUGUCCACCCUGAUUUGAUGCUAAAAGAAGUUCAGAUCCAUUGCUGUUAUGAGGCAUCAUGAAUGGUUGACUUUUUACAUUUGUCUUCAUCUUGGUUCUCAAAUGGUGGGAAAAGUAGGAAUUGUACAGCUCUACAGCAAUGUUCUCUUUCAGAAUUGUCAACAAGGAGGCACUGUAAUAUGCAGCUUUGAAAUAAUGCUGGCAUGAUAUCUGUUUGACCAACAACUGUUGAAGAUACAUCAGCUGUCAGAGGAUUUGUCUUCAUGUUGUAUUGCAAUCAUAUAGUCAAUGAACACACUUUCAAUACUGCUUUGUGGAACGAGUUUGACAACUAAACUGCACAUUUAUCAGUAAGAAUGAAGAUCAACUGCUUUCAGGCUUUGCUUUAAAGAAUUGCCUUGAUGUCUUUGCAUUUUCUUUUCGACUUUGAGAAACCUCCCAAUCCAAUCAAGAAACAAUGGAUGUUAUUAACCUCAGAUGUCAGCCACCCCUGUCUGUGAAUGAUACCAAAUUUGCAUCUGUUCAGCAUAUGUCCACAGUGAUCUGAGCCCUUUGAUAAUCACCCUUCUCUUCCCAAUGAAAAUGAAUUGAUUGGCUUUGUUUAAAUAUACCAGUUGGGUCAGUUAUUUAUAAUCCAGUUUUAUGUUUGUCUGCCUGUAAUCACUGACCGCACAGUCAGGGUGCAUUUAUUGUGCUGUGGUAAAGUGUUGUCAUCCAGAGAAAAGUAAAUGCUCCAGCCUAAACUUCUAACUUCCUUUUAAAGCCCAAUGUUCUGUGUGUGGGUGAAGUCCGGUCACAGCUCACGCUUCCGAGUUCCUUGAGGACUGGUAUCCAGUUGCUCAUGCUGGGGAACAGAUCACUGUGCGAGUUGUCUGAAACAGAAAAAAUUAUUUAUCCCGGUCCAAAAAAAUCUCAACCAACACAUCUCAAAGAAACAAGUAUUUUUCCCAUAUUGAAAUGGCACGCAGAGCAUGUGCUGAGCCAAGCAUGGGGCAGCUGUUUCAGACAGGGCUUGUCUGGCUCGGCCUGUAAAAACUGGAGUUAGCAGAGAAUCAAAAAUCUAGUUUGUUUGUAUUCCAGACUAGAGGUAACUACUAGGCUUAUCUAUUUCAUAUUGACAAAGAGUGACCUAUAAUCUUAUUUUGAAGUGUCACUUCUUGUUGGGAAGCAAAUUAGUCCCGCCCUAACACUUGGGUCUGACCCAUAAAAAGGAUAAUCUCACUAAUUUCCCCCGCAUUCUUAACGGGAUGUGCACGUUUGAGGGAAAGAUUACAUCACUAGUAGACAGGGUUGGGUAGGUUACUUUCUAAAUGUCAUUGUAAUCAGUAACGUGACCUGAUUACAUUUACUUUUAGAUUACUUUCCCCUUGAGGGGCAUUAGAAGACAAUGUUACCAAUUGAACUUCAUCUGUUGCAGGAUAAAUCAAUGUUAAAGUUUACAUAGCUGGCCAUAUAUGGAUGUUAAAUUUGACUUUAUGGGUUGGUUAUGUAGGCUUCUUCUAACCCAUCGCUUUCUACUACAUAUAAGAUUAAAUUAUAACUUUACAUUAAAAACCAAAGUCUAUCAGAAUUCCAAUAAAUGUUAUACUCCUUCAACUUCAAGAAUAGGACUUGGAAAUAUGGAAGUAUAGAUUAGCCAAAUUGUUUCACCUGAGCAUGACCCCGAAACAAAGGAUUUAUUAGCCAGCCCUACUCUGUUUAUGAUUUUGUUCUCAUGGAGGAUUGAUUGGGCUCAUUGAUUCAAGUUGAAAAAUAAAUGCUGUGCUCAUGGAAUGGCAUGCUUUGCCAAGAGUGCAAAACUCAUCAAGGCAAAGGGUUGUUACCUUGAAGAAUAUAAAACAUAUUUGGUUGAACACUUUUUUUGGUUACUACAUGCUUCCUUAUGUGUUAUUUCAUACUUUUGAUGUCUUCACUAUUAUUCUACAACGUAGAAAAUAGUACAAAUAAAGAAAAACCCUUGAAUGAGUAGGUGUCAACUUUUGACUGGUACUGUAUAUAUAAUUUAUAAAUCCCCCCCAAAAAUGUAGCAACUACAGAUUGCCCUUUUAAGUCUAUCAAAGCGUGCAAGUUUGAGCAUGUGUCCAUUAGGCCUAUGGAUAUUUUUUUAAUCAGCAUGAAUUAGAUUGAGCAAUAAAAGCCACACUCAUUCCAUAGGAUUGGAUCUGAACUACGCAGCUGUUGCAAGAGCGCAUUUUUUUACUGGCUGUCCACUGGUUUCAAAAACAAUGACUGAUAGGCAGCUUGAACUUCUUGAAUUCAACUAUUAUUAGGUUCAAAUACACAUUUAGUAUUUAUGAACAGCCACCCACAACAACCACAAUCCGUAAAGUACAAAUAGCUAAAUGAGAGAGCAGCAGUGUGAUUCACAUCAAUGCGCUAAGUAGAUAUCAAUAAGUGAUAUCCGUAUCGCCGUAGACUACACCACUACUGGCAUCCUUACCUCCAAGCUUUAAAUCAAAUGGCAUAAUAUUUGGAUGCCGACAGCAGUUGCACCAUUGGAAGACAUUACUUGGACUGUAAGCCAACAAAAGCCUAUUCCUGAUCUUUUCCCGCGAUCCAUCAAACACAUUUGGUGUGUCAUAGUGGUGGUCUCUGAUUUGUGGUCAGACUCGCUCAGGUGGAACAAAUUUAAACUUUCGCCUUUUUAAAAUUUGAAUGUCAUUGAGAAAACAGAAGUGUCAAAGAUUUUUCUCCGCUAACAUCUGAAUUUAAAAGUAAUCCUCGAAGUAAUCUAGUUUUUCAAAAGUAUCGGUAAUCUGAUUACAAUAUUUUUGCUGUUAAUGUAACGGAUUACAGUUACCGUUUUUGUAAUCCUUUACAUGUAAUCCGUUACUCCCGAACCUUGCUGGUAGAGUAGAGUUCCCCCACAGAUGAUCCAUUAUAUUGACCCGUGCCCGGUUUUCCUUUAGGGAUGGAAUUUAGGCAUACGAUGUUUUAACAUGCAACUUUCUUAACAACAGCCGAAGAUGUUAACACGCGUAUCCCAAAACACUACGCAGAGAGGUUCGCUAAGUGAGUCGAAGUGUCAAUACUGAUAGGAUCGAAAGAAGCAGCACUGCUCUCGGAUCAGCCUUCUCUCUUUCCAAUUGUGCCUUUCAAAAAAAUAUAAUAACAUUAGAAGAUCAGCUCCUAGAGAGUUACACUACAUAUACAAAAGUAUGUGGACACCCCUUCAAAUUAGUGGAUUCGGCUAUUUCAGCCACACCCGUUGCUG